rnacentral:rRNA from 1 species
AACGAACGCUGGCGGCAUGCCUAACACAUGCAAGUCGAACGAGCCCUUCGGGGUUAGUGGCGCACGGGUGCGUAACGCGUGGGAAUCUGCCCUUGUGUUCGGAAUAACAGUGAGAAAUUACUGCUAAUACCGGAUGAUGUCUUCGGACCAAAGAUUUAUCGCCCAAGGAUGAGCCCGCGUAGGAUUAGCUAGUUGGUGGGGUAAUGGCCUACCAAGGCGACGAUCCUUAGCUGGUAUGAGAGGAUGAUCAGCCACACUGGGACUGAGACACGGCCCAGACUCCUACGGGAGGCAGCAGUGGGGAAUAUUGGACAAUGGGCGAAAGCCUGAUCCAGCAAUGCCGCGUGAGUGAUGAAGGCCUUAGGGUUGUAAAGCUCUUUUACCCGGGAUGAUAAUGACAGUACCGGGAGAAUAAGCUCCGGCUAACUCCGU